GAAUGUGUUAAUUUUUCCUUUUCUGCUUAGAGUUGAAAAGAGUUCUGAUGAUAAAGUGUAUUUUAAUAUCUUUUUACUUUCUGUUACAGGACUGGCUGGCUUUUCCUGUGCUGAUUAAAAAAACACUUCAAGAUGUCAUCUAGAAUUUUGAUUACAGAAUAUUAUAGACUUCAAAUUUUGAAGUUGAGCAGUGAAGUUAUUCAGAACUUUUGGGGAAUUUUUAGCAUCUUCAACAUGGAAUUGUAUGCAAUAAUCAGAGCUGAAGAACAAGUUGAAAAAGGAUGAUUGUUCAUUAAAUCCUGGUCCAGACAAGCAAAGGCAUCCCAGAGAUGACAAACAUGGGGGAUCAGAGCUUAAGCUUUUGUGACUACAAAAU
rnacentral:lncRNA from 1 species